CAACCCUUGACAUCCCGGGACCGGCCCAGAGAUGGGUCUUUCACUUCGGUGACUCGGUGACAGGUGCUGCAUGGCUGUCGUCAGCUCGUGUCGUGAGAUGUUCGGUUAAGUCCGGCAACGAGCGCAACCCACGUCUUUAGUUGCCAGCAGUUCGGCUGGGCACUCUAAAGAAACUGCCCGUGAUAAGCGGGAGGAAGGUGUGGAUGACGUCAAGUCCUCAUGGCCCUUACGGGUUGGGCUACACACGUGCUACAAUGGUGUCUACAGUGGGUUAAUCUCCAAAAGACAUCUCAGUUCGGAUUGUCGUCUGCAACUCGACGGCAUGAAGUCGGAAUCGCUAGUAAUCGCGUAACAGCAUGACGCGGUGAAUACGUUCCC
rnacentral:rRNA from 1 species